AGAGUUCAGUUCCAACCCUGCUUCAGCACAGCUGCCUGUAAUUAUUAAGUGCUCCUGAAGAUCUUAAUCAGCUUGUUAAGCCAUGUUUGAUCAGGUUUGGAGCUUUGCAGGAAGGUAGAUCUCCAGGAACAGGGUUGGGCUUCACUUGUGUAGGGCUCUAUGAAACAUCUUUUAACCAAAAACCUACCCUUUUCCUGCGCCAAUUCAGAAAUGGUUGCUUUUAAAUCAAAUCUCAAGAUCAUCAUGAAAUGUCUGUAAAUUUUCUAUGUUCAUCUUUCGUAAUUGAAGUAGGAACACCAAGUCAAUAUCCUGAUUGGCUUUUCCUUCUGUCCAGUCCAGAAUAAACUUGUGCACUGAAAUGGUUUUUCCAAUGCCAGCGAUGCCUUUGGGUGAUCUUCCCAGUCCAUAACUCUCCAGCAUCAAAUUCACGGUCAUCUAGAAAAUUAUAAAGCAGCUCUGAUACAGAUGCCAUCGCCUUUCAUAGACUAUUGGACCAAAAGAAAAGGAAAUAAAGAGUUGGUUUGGUCUUAAAGAUUCAUCUCAAUGCUUGUCUCAUCGGACUUAAAGCUUUAUGAUCCUGCCAUUUUGUAAGGCUUUUGGAUCACAGUUCAUGAUUACACUUGUGUAGUAGUUUCCCCAUUUAGUCCUAGCCUUCUUGGAAAACUUAGCUUAAUCAUUUCA